GCCUCUACUUGUAAGCUUCUGUUUGAGGAUGAGCCCGCGUACCAUUAGCUUGUUGGUAGGGUAAUGGCCUACCAAGGCUACGAUGGUUAGCUGGUCUGAGAGGAUGAUCAGCCACACUGGAACUGACACACGGUCCAGACUCCUACGGGAGGCAGCAGUGAGGAAUUUUGCGCAAUGGGGGAAACCCUGACGCAGCAACGCCGCGUGAGUGAUGAAGGCUUUCGGGUCGUAAAGCUCUGUCAAGUGGGAAGAACUCGCAUGGUGCUAAUAUCACCAUGUGCUGACGGUACCACUGAAGGAAGCACCGGCUAACUCCGUGCCAGCAGCCGCGGUAAUACGGGGGGUGCAAGCGUUAUUCGGAAUUACUGGGCGUAAAGAGCGCGUAGGCGGUCUUUUAAGUCAGGUGUGAAAGCCCGGGGCUCAACCCCGGAAGUGCACUUGAAACUAUUAGACUUGAGUAUGGGAGAGGGAAGUGGAAUUCCUGGUGUAGCGGUGAAAUGCGUAGAUAUCAGGAGGAACAUCGGUGGCGAAGGCGACUUCCUGGACCAAUACUGACGCUGAGGCGCGAAGGCGUGGGGAGCAAACAGGAUUAGAUACCCUGGUAGUCCACGCAGUAAACGAUGACACUAGGUGUAGCGGGUAUUGACCCCUGCUGUGCCG
rnacentral:rRNA from 1 species